GGGGGGAAGAAGAACAGAUUUAUCUCAUUUGCGACGUGACAUCUAAUUAAAAAUGAGUCCACAUUUUAAAUGCAAGUCGCACCUAAACAAUUAUAGUCUUAAUCCAUAUUUGUUGAACAAGAUUUAAUAUAAUACAGUGCAAUGGGAGUAUGAAAGCUCAACAUCCAGAACAACCGCAGAAAUAGUCAGAUGGGCAUUCCGUCCAUGGUACGGACACCCACUUUGGGGCGGAGAACGGAGGACGGGAAGAUUUUUUUCUGGGGGGGAAAAAAAGGACAGACUAAGCAAGGACGGAAGUGGACAUGUGGGCGGAGUUGUGGAAUAGCAGAGAGUCAGGUGGAGUAGCAUGCAGUUACUAGAGUGUGCAUUCAAACUAGUAGCGAUGAGAAGAAAGAAUUAACCCAUGAGAAUUACUUUUGGGGAAGAAUAUCUUCAAAGCAAAACUAAGGGGCAGCCAUCAAAAGGGGUGUUCACACGGCACACAUUUGCUCCGGUGCUGCACCGAUGUAUUUUGUUGCGAUAUAUCUUACACCGGAGCAAAUUUUGUGGAGCGGUCACACGUACAAACCCGCGGAGCGUGUUAACUCCGGCAUAGCGCCAGUGCAGCCCCACUUGCGGUCACACGGCAGUUACUGCAGCGGAGCAAAACAAAAAGAGCUGUC